rnacentral:lncRNA from 1 species
UUGGUGUCACAUCAUUGUUGGAGGGAACAAAAAUCCGGGAAGCUUUCGUAAAAAAAUUAUUUCCAACCUACUAAUAUUGCAUAAAUUUGUUGAAACGAAAAAUGAAUGAGGGAAUAACAAUGAAAACCACUAUGUACAAAUAACUAUAUAAACAUGAAAACCAUUUUAUAUAAACUGCUAUAUAAACAUGAAAACCACUCUGUAUAAAUCGCUAUAUAAACAUGAAAACCACUCUGUAUAAACCACUAUAUAAACAUGAAAACCACUCUGUAUAAACAACUAUAUAAACAUGAAAACUACUCUAUAUAAACAUGAAAACCACUAUGCAUACUUAUCGAAAUUUGUUAUAAAUAUUAGUGAAUUUUAAAGGACUCACAUAUACCAAACUAUAUAUCGAAAUUUAAAAUUGAAAUCAGAUCCUGCAUAACUAUUAAGAUUUCAUGCUUGAAAACCACUAUUGAAUUAAUUAUUUUUUUCAGAAAACAAAACAUACUUAUUUUUCAUCAUCAUACGAAAUAAACAAAGCACACAUUCAU